CGUGAGGAACCUGCCUUUCAGAGGGGGACAACAGUUGGAAACGACUGCUAAUACCGCAUAAUAUAUGUUUGUCGCAUGGCAGAUAUAUCAAAGAUUUAUCGCUGAGAGAUGGCCUCGCGUCUGAUUAGCUAGUUGGUAGGGUAAUGGCCUACCAAGGCGACGAUCAGUAGCCGGACUGAGAGGUUGGCCGGCCACAUUGGGACUGAGAUACGGCCCAGACUCCUACGGGAGGCAGCAG
rnacentral:rRNA from 1 species